rnacentral:rRNA from 1 species
UACGUAGGGUGCGAGCAUUGUCCGGAAUUAUUGGGCGUAAAGAGCUCGUAGGCGGUCUGUCGCGUCUGCUGUGAAAUCCCGAGGCUCAACCUCGGGCUUGCAGUGGGUACGGGCAGGCUAGAGUGCGGUAGGGGAGAAUGGAACUCCUGGUGUAGCGGUGGAAUGCGCAGAUAUCAGGAAGAACACCGAUGGCGAAGGCAGUUCUCUGGGCCGUAACUGACGCUGAGGAGCGAAAGCGUGGGGAGCGAACAGG